rnacentral:lncRNA from 1 species
UCAUGUAAAUCUGUAGCCGAGAAGACUGGGAAUCAUGAAAGUCUUUGGAAAUUAAACCCUUUAUCUUCAAAAUGUGGUGUUAUUGCUUCUGAAUGGGAGAGUUAAAGGCUGAAACCUGCUGCUAAACGACCUUGCUCAAUAUGUUUGUAGGUGCAGCUCAAAGAGAAUCCAACGGAUUCCUUCUUGUUUCUUUGCAAGUAGGUGACGCCUCACAGUCAAUAUGGCAAGAAUUUUUCACUGGACAGAACUCACAGGCCACGCAGACUAAAUCUGGAGAAACACCCAUGUGGGAAUCAAACAGGAAAUCCUAACACCUGAUGACUCCACCUGUUCCCCCAACUCACUCCAGGCACAGCUGAGGUGAUUAACAAGUACUAGUAAACUAGGCCUUGGACACAUACUGGAUUUCGUUACUUGUCAAAACAUGCGUGACAGAGUGUUCUUGAUUGAUUUGAAGUUUCAUUACAAGAUCCUGUCAGAGGGAAGAAAACUAUGGAAGAUUAAUUCUACUCAGCUGAACUUGUCAGUGAUGAGUGUAACUGUGUUUUAAAGCAGAAUUCCAAGUCUUCAGGCAUGGCAGAGAAUCAACUGGUUACUCAAGAUAUGAUCACCAAACUAUUAGAUACACUGGUUAUAGUCCUCCUGGUUAAAUAUUUCAAAAACACUCAAUUAAGAGGUCAAUCGAUAUAGUUGUGCAAAUCCAAAGCUUUGUAAUGCAAUCUGAAUGUAAACCCAAUUGACCCUAGUAAAAGUGAAGUCAUGGAACUAGUGCAUCUAUAGAGAAUAAAAAAGCAACAGGUUUCUAAUGACAAAUGCAAGGCAAAUUUCUCUCCCUUGGGUCAAUUUCAGCAAAAUGGGUGGGCACAGCACAUUCCCUUCCAUUUGGAGAAAGAUAGGGCAAAGCAGAGACGAC